rnacentral:lncRNA from 1 species
AUAAGUCUCCCUAGCGAUCAAUGAUUUUUCAGUUAAUAUAGAUUUCAACAUUAAUCAUAAAAGAACCUUUGAGUAAAUAGUUACCGUAUAAUUAAAUUCUUUCACCAUAUAAUGUCCCAAUUAAAUAUAAGACAUGGAAUUACUGUCAAGUCUUAUUUUAUUUAAUUAUAUGUAUUUCGAUUCCUAACUGAACAACUUCUAAUGAAUGCAAAUUAGAAACUACUUUCUAAUUUUAUUUCACGUUAGCCAAGGAUUCUUGGGUUAUCAUUACACUCAAGUAUACCCUUUGAUAUACUCUAAGAGUCUUAAGGAAUAAGUCAAAGUGAACUUAUUCUUCAAUAAGCACAUACAUAGUGCUUUAGUGUCUCCACAUAAAUGAUCAUGAGAUCAAUUAUCCUCCUUCAUUAUUUCUUACGAAUUCACUGAAACUCUAGAGAGAGAAAUUAUAGAGAGAAAGAAGAAGAGUAUUCUUCUACUUUACUACUUCUAUAUCCAGUUUCUUUUACGGUAAGGGGUGUUAUUCUUUCUUAUUCAUGAAGAGAACUUCUGUUAUUCCAUUCUUUAUUAUUCUGUUGGAAUAACCUGUAUAUGUGGCAUACCCUAUACAUAACCUGUAUACGCGGCAUACCCUAUACUUGGUGAAAUCCUUAUGUUAUUCCAUUCUUUAUUAUUCGGUUGGAAUAUCUUGUCUGUGUGUUUUACACCGGACCUGGUUCCGUCUUUAUUAUUCUGUUGGAAUAUCCUGUGUGUGUGUUUUACACCGGACUUGGUUCUGUUACUUAUUAUUCUGUUGGAAUAACCUGUCUAUGCGAAGUACCGUAUGCAUGGUGAUUUCUUUUGUUAUUCCAUUCUUUAUUAUACUCAGUUGGUUAAAGUUUUGACUUCUAUACUCCAUGAAAUUAGUGGAAUAUCCUUGAUAUUUGCGCUUCAUCCAG